UUGGUUUUCCCUCAACUUGCUGCAACCAAGAGACUUGGCAGUUCAUGUACCAAUUGGCCUGUGUCUCUUACCAAGACGUGAAAAGGGCCUGGAUAACUGACUUAAGAACAACAAAUUCCAGCAAGCAAAACGAUUAUCUCAGUGAAUCCUGUGGACCGAGGCCAUUGAAUGGCUUUCCAGGACUCAAGUUCUCAAGAAUAAUUUAUGAACCCUCAUAACAGAAGCAAGACCAUUUAACGAUUUACUUUUUCAAUUGUGCUUAACUGAAUGUACCCAAGAGGAGACAACAUGAUUUCCAGCAACUUCUAUUCAACCAUUUCUGCAGCAACAAUCUGUAUAAUCACACCCUGGAGACAGGCUUGAGACAGCCCUGCAUCCGGAC